rnacentral:ncRNA from 1 species
CUGCUUCGGGGAAGCGACGAUCCGCGGUCAACGUCUCGGUCACCGACCGACCGCGGGGAGCGAGUGGUGAGACCGGCCCCGGACCCU